AAGGAAGACAAGUCUACAAUAUUCAGAAGCACAACAGUGUUUUACGGAAACAAAUAGAAAGGCUGAUGCCCUAGGGACUUUACAAUAUAAAGGCCUAGUCCUGCAGACACCUAUCCAUAGACCCUGAGGGAUGGCAGACAAAAGACAGAGGAAGCAGGAGCAGAACACGGGAAGCAGCAGCAGAGCUCAGAUGCAGCAGGAGAGGGGAAACAUGGCAAGAGACUCCAGAUGAGUGACAAAGCCAGGGGUGUUGGACAGGACAUGGACGUGUGGACAGCAAUUGAGUACUCUUAGGACUAGAGGCUGGUUUGGGACACCUCUGGAGUUGUGGGUGAGUACAGGGUUCAUGGAGUGUCUGUAUUUCAGAACUACUGUGUGUUAUGAGUUACUUGUUCUUGAGUGAACAUCACAAUGUUACUGCUUAUUAUCUGUUAUUCAGCUUCUAAGUGUAUGUAAUUUAAUGUUAGUGUGUACCUUAGUGUUAACCUACUUGCGUUUAUUUUUCCCUAGCUUGUUGGUUUGUGACCCUAACCCGAGCCAUUUUCUGUAUAAAAUCGGGAACCUUGUUUUUGGCUUCCUGUGCCAGUUCCUGGGGUUGUGGGGUUUCUUGCAUGUGCAAGCAUUUACUGUGAAUAAGUCAUUUGGUGAGGGAGAGUCUGGUAGGAUUGGGGUGAGUGGAUUGGAAGGUCCAAGUGGGGCUGGCAUAUCUGCGAGGGAGGAGGGGAUUGGUGGGUCUGUGGGAAAGGGAUUUUCCAGUUCAGGGGGGUGUAGUCAGAGCUAAAAGUAGCCCAGUCAAGGUUGGGCAGAUAAGAGCAGCAGAAACUGAGGGCUCUAGCAAGUGGCUGGGCUUUCCUAGCCCUGGGGCUGUGCUAUGAAUGCCUGUAGGCAUUUCCAUUGUAGCUUAGGUUAACCCAGGUUGUUCUAAAGUUAGUUCACUUCCUUAGGUGAACUUAGAUCAAAUCAAGUCAAGUCAGUCCUGAGGCCACUGUGACUGUUGGGGCACCUUAGAUGCUAUAACAACCAUCCUCCAGAUCCAGUAUGCUAUUUUCUGGGCUAUUUAAGCCCUGUGAAUGCCUGCAUGUGUAGACAUUUAAAUCAACCUAGACUAGGUUGAUCUAAAUGUAAUGCUUGUAUGUACCUUUAUAGCCUAACUAAAUCUAGUUAGUCUAUAAGGUGCAAAUCUACCCUGCUUUCUGCUUGACUUCAGACAAAAACAGCAAACUACAUCUCAAUGUUUGUUUUCUGCCUUCUUUGCAUAUUUGUUUGCUACCCUAAGAGGACAUUGAAGCUGAUUGUCAAAGAUGGAGAAAAGGGAAUAGAUUAAGAGCAAUAAAACUGUAUGGAGAAAAAGGAAUUGAAACAAAAAAAACCCGUUUGCAAUAUACUGCUACUUAGGGAAUAAUGCAGAUAGAAUUAAUCAGGCACAAUAAAAAAGGGCUUCCUUUAUUGGAGCUUUUAAAGGGUGCUUCAGGGUACUGGGUAUGCAGUCUCCCAUUGAAAUCAUGAAAAGUCUGAUAGUGACUUGAAAAGGAGCAUUAUUGGGUCAAAUAAUUUUAGCUGUUUUUUUUUUAUUUUAAACAUUGAAUUUCUAUAAAACGGCCAUUUUUGCAAUGUGCAAAACUGUACAGAAAUUGAGACUUGCAUGUAAAUCUUUUAAGUUCAGGACUGUAGCUAGAGUUUGAUACUAUUAGGAGGAGAUAAGAAAAUAGAAUGGAGUAUCUAGCCAUUAGAGCAUUCCAUGUUUUCAAGUCAAGCCAACCGGAGAAGAAUUCAUGUUGUUUGAUUAGGGCCAAGCAGACACAAAAGGAAUUUUCUCAGGUAGGGGGAGAGGGUGGGAGAAGAUGGGGAGGAGCAGAAUUUUCCUUAAGUCACGAAUUCAUGAAGAAACGCAUCAAAUUUAGAAAAUGAUUUGAUCUCAUAUUUUUCUUAUUGAUACAUUGUAUCUAAUUGCCAAGCUGUGCUCUAAGCCUAGAAUAUGUGUGUGGACAGAUUCUAAAACUAUACUUUUAUGUGGAGUCUUGCUGACUUCAGUGCAGCUACAUACAAGUGCAAGGAUCUGCCUUUGAAGACCUCUCUAUAUCAGGGGCUUAGGACAAGAGCACAUGAGAAAAAUUACCAUAGUAUUGUACAGAUCUGAUGACAGAGCUGUGCUGCUACCCAGCAUGUCUGCAGGCGGUGGAUAGUGGAAUUACCUUCAGGGAAGGUUAGCUGGGAAAUAAGUAGAGGUAACUCUGCUGAAUAAGCAGUCACAGACUAACCACCAGCAUUACCACCAGGAUGUGGAUCAGACAUCAGAUGGCAAUGCUUUCCUCCUGAAAAGUGACAUAUAUCCUCUGGCAGUGCUGUGACAUGGUGAGUACAGGUGACCACUAUAAGAAGCCUGUCCAUCCCCCAGCCAUGGGUCUACAAGUCCUCAAUGGCAGAACAAAUGGAAGAAGAUGCUAGAAUCUCAAUGGCUGCAAAGGCAGAUGAAGGCUGCAGCAGAACAAGAUCUUCAGUUGUCUUGGCUUUCUUGCCAUUGAAUUACAGUCCCAUUCUGUCAAGAACCAUGUGGAAGCUGAUGUGCAACUGCUUCUCCACCAUUAAAGAAAUCAUGCACAGGUGUCUUUCAU